GGGCUGUUCGCCCAUUAAAGCGGUACGCGAGCUGGGUUCAGAACGUCGUGAGACAGUUCGGUCCCUAUCCGUCGUGGGCGUAGGAAAUUUGAGAGGAGCUGUCCUUAGUACGAGAGGACCGGGAUGGACGCACCGCUGGUGUACCAGUUGUUCUGCCAAGGGCAUAGCUGGGUAGCUAUGUGCGGAAGGGAUAAGUGCUGAAAGCAUCUAAGCAUGAAGCCCCCCUCAAGAUGAGAUUUCCCAUAGCGUAAGCUAGUAAGAUCCCUGAAAGAUGAUCAGGUUGAUAGGUUCGAGGUGGAAGCAUGGUGACAUGUGGAGCUGACGAAUACUAAUAGAUCGAGGACUUAACCAUAUAA
rnacentral:rRNA from 1 species